rnacentral:rRNA from 1 species
UUAUAGAACCGCCGCUGUCGGCUGCGUUUAACCUGCAAGUCGAGGGGUAGAGCGUUUUCGGACUUUCGAGACCGGCGAACGGGUGAGUAACACGUAGGGAAUCUACCGUAAGGUUGGGGAUAGCCCUUGGAAACAGGGGGUAAUACCGAAUGUGUUCCUGCUCUGAAAGGGGGAGGAAGAAAGGCGCUUUGGCGCCGCCUUGUGAUGAACCUGCGUCUGAUUAGGUAGUUGGUGGGGUAAAGGCCUACCAAGCCGACGAUCAGUAGCCGGCCUGAGCGGGUGAUCGGCCACACUGGGACUGAGAUACGGCCCAGACCGCUACGGUGGGCAGCAGGUAAGAAUCUUCCGCAAUGGACGCAAGUCUGACGGAGCGACGCCGCGUGGGUGAAGAAGGCCGUGAGGUCGUAAAGCCCUUUUCUAUCUGAGGAAUAGGCCCCUGGGAGGGGAUUGCCCGGGGUGAUGACGGGUUGGGGUAGGAAAUAAGCCCCCGCCUAUAUUGCGGUGCACAACCAGCCCGCGGUAACACCCUUAUUGGGGGCGAAGCG